GGAGGUUUGCAAAUUUAUACUCUAACACUCUUUAGAAACGACAGUUUAAUAUGCUAUGAUCAAAAAAUCACACUUGUGCUGUAAGCAUUUUAACUUUCCCUUCAUUGAUAACAACAUGUUUAAAAUUAAGACGGAAGCACACAGGGAAAUCUUCUUUCUCUUUACAUGCAAAUGCAUAUAAUCAUGUUGACCAGGUAUGCUUUCCAAACUACCAGAGAACUGAGGACAGAGAUAAUGUUUAGGGGUAAGACACAAUCUUCUUUCCACUGGGCCCACAUGAAGACGUAACCACCCUGACGCCCAGUUUGAUUUAAGAACUGAAAGCUCAGUAUGUGUCAAUGUUCCCUUCACAAAAGUGCCCAGUUAGCUCACAUUUUCGCAGAAUUGUACCAUAAGCCCUAGUAUGAAAGGUGAGUAAUAUUAAGAAUGUAGCUUUCUCAAUUCCAGCAGGACCCUACUUUUUCAAUAGGUCACCAAAAGUUAAGCCUUUCAUAAAAAAACUACAGAUAAAGGGAAAAACACAGGUAGAUAAGCAGCAUUAGCAACUUAUCUUGGCCAAAUAAACUGGACUUAGAACAGGGGUAUAUGUGGUCUUUUCUUUCCAACCCAACCCAACCAUCUAAUAGUGCAAUCAUUUUUAUUUUUAAAAAUAGGAGUAACUUUCUCAUUGUUUAUAACUGUGACGUUCAUGAAUACAUUUGUGCCAAGGACCCAUCUAUGGUCACUAUGUCAGUGGUUCUUAAGCUUUAGUGUGUAUGAUUUACCCAGUGCUAUGUAUAAUGCAUAUUCCCAGGCUUCAUCUCAAGAGAUCCUGAUCUAGUUAAACCGGGGGUGGGGGGGGGUGGGGGAAGUAUUUGCAUUUUAAGAUGAAUUCUGAGAUGAAUUCUGAUGCAGCUGGUUGACUUUGAGAAUCAUUGACAGAGUAGGUUGAUGGAUGAUUACCCGACUCAAAUUACUCCAAUAUGUGCUAAACGCAGAAUAUUUGAUUAAUAAGCACACAAACUUAGAUAUAGUUAUUUAUUCACUUAAAAUAUAUCACAGCCUAGUAUAUACUCAUACUCAUUUUUUUAGGCUUACAUGUAAAGUAACUUAUAGCUAUGGUUUCAACUCUACUACUUGGGAGACUGAGAUCAGUAAGCCUUCCUGGGUAUCCACGCCCCCGUUUUAGCAUACUUUAUGAAAAAUCUGCAUUUCAUAUCCUUCCGAAACCUUUGAAGAACGUGUGGAGUGUGUGCCCAUGUCGCAAUCUUCAAAUUUUAAAAGUCUCAUCACUAGGCUAUCAGUGUAAUGCACGACAAGACUUCCCUUAAAACCUCUCCCUCCUCCCCUCCCACUCAGUCAUCUAAUUCUUGUCAUUUCAAUUUAAGAAUCUUUCUUUAGAGUACUGCGGCGGCGGCUCCGGGGCCGGGGCCUUUCGUUUGGGGCGGCAAACAAGGCCUGCGGCUUCCCCUGCUCGCUCGGUCCCGGCCGCCCCUCGCGGGGGUGGGGGGCCGAGCCCUGGGCCGGGGCCUCGUCUCAGGCGCCCCCGCCCCGCCCGGCCCGGCCCGAGGGGAGGAAGCGGCCCUGCCACCGCCGGAGUCGCCGCCACAGCCCUCUGCGCUCCGAACCGAGGCCGCCUCUCGCCCCUCGGGCCGACCUCAUGAAGAUCAAGGAUGCCAAGAAACCCUCUUUCCCAUGGUUUGUCAUGGACAUCGGGGGAACUCUGGUAAAGCGCUCAUAUUUUGAACCUAUCGAUAUCACAGCAGAGGAAGAAGAAGUUGAGAGCUUAAAAAGUAUCCGGAAAUACGUGACUCCUAAUGUAGCCUAUGGAUCCACUGGUAUUCGGGAUGUACACCUUGAACUGAAAGAUUUAACACUUUUUGGCUGGAGAAGGAACUUGCACUUUAUCAGAUUUCCAACCCAGGACCUGCCUACUUUUAUCCAAAGGGGAAGAGAGAAAAACUUCUCAACAUUACACACGGUGCUAUGUGCUACAGGAGGUGGUGCUGACAAGUCUGAAAACGAUUUUCACACAGUUGGAAAGCUCCACCUGCACAAACUGGAUGAAGCUGACUGCCUUGUAAAGGGCUUGCUGUAUAUAGAUCCUGUCAGUUUCAAUGGACAAGCAGAGUGCUAUUAUUUUGCUAAUGCCUCAGAACCUGAGAGAUGCCAAAAGAUGCCUUUCAACCUGGCUGACCCCUACCCGCUGCUGGUAAUAAACACUGGUUCUGGAGUCAGUAUUUUAGCAGUCCAUUCCAAAGACAACUAUGAACGAGCAACUGGGACAAGCCUUGGAGGGGGCACCUUUCUGGGUUUAUGUAGUUUAUUGACUGGCUGUGAAAGUUUUGAAGAGGCUCUUGAAAUGGCAUCCAAAGGUGACAGCACAAAGCUGACAAGCUGGUCCGUGAUAUUUACAGAAGAGAUUAUGAAAGAUUUGGUCUGCCUGGUUGGGCUGUAGCAUCUAGUUUUGGGAAUAUGAUUUAUAAGGAGAAGCGAGAAUAUGUUAGUAAACAACAUCUAGCAAGAGCUACAUUAGUUACUAUCACCAAUAACAUUGGUUCUGUGGCACGAAUGUGGGCUGUUAAUGAGAAAAUAAACAGAGUUGUCUUUGUUGGAAACUUUACGUGUCAAUACUCUCUCGAUGAAACUUUUGGCAUAUGCACUGGAUUACUGUCAAAAGGUCAACUGAAAGCACUGUUUCUAGAGCAUGAGGGGUAUUCUGGAGCAGUUGGUACACUUCUUGGGCUGCCAAAUUUCAGCUAAGCAUCGGGUUUCUCUCUGUUAAUAAAUGUCAUUCGAGAGGAAAUGAAGACCAGAGGUGUUAUUACUGCAUUAUUUGUCACUGGGAACCAAAGGAUAAAAGAGUAGCACUAUUCCUGUUGAUUUUUAAGUGUCAGAAUGGUUAGCUGCUCUAUGUUGCCAUAUUAAAAAGAGAGCUUCAGUAAUGUGAAGUAUUUCUAAGUGAAAUACUCUCCCUUCUGUAUAUAGCCAGUGUUAAAUCCUUAAAUGCAAUACAGCCUCUGAUGAUUGAGCCUCCUCUGAAAAAGAUCUUCUGUUUAUUUUAUUUUAUGUAGCCAACAUUGGAGUACUGUAUGUUCAAACAUGAAUCUUAAAGUCUCAGAAAUGUUUAGCUCAUGAAAAGAACUGAUUCUGAGUAUUUGUUACAAGUCUGUUCUAUGUGUGCUUUGGUUACUAGUAAGUGGACAGUAACACACCCUGCAUCGAAACUUACUGAAAUGGCAAUCAGAGAUGAUCAUCUUUAUGUGAUUUUAGAAAUGUUAAAGCAAUAUUAAUUAUCCAUUACUGUUGUUUUCCAAACAUAUCUUCUCCCAAAAAGCAUGUUUAUGUGAUCUUUCCCCAGAAGUAUAACCUUUUUCAAAUGUCAUAAUUUAAUUGAAAUACUAUUGUUAAACAUUAGUCUGAAUUUUAAAAUGAAUCCUAGAAAAUGCACAUAAUUGGUGAUACUUCAUUUUUUGUAUUUUAAGUUUAUCAGAUAGUACAUUUUAAAAUGUUUUUUAAUUGGAGGCUUAAUUACUUAUUUGAAAGUCCGUUCAGUGAGGUCCCAGGACUAUUUGAAUGGAGUAUGGUUUAUGUGUAGGGUUAUUGGUAGGGUUCUGUGCUCUUCUCUCUAUACCACAUUUAUCUUAGGCCCAAAGUUAGCCAUUUCUGUUUAAUUAGGUCUGAACCAUCAAAGCUAAAGACUGUCUUCUACUGUGAACAGCAACAAAAUCAUUUAUUCUAAACGGAUGUUAUGGAAAUUUAAAAGACGAGUUGUUUUGAAACUAUGGGAAUCUGAGGCUGUAUUGCAGAAUUAUAAAAGGAUCAAUGUUUCAUACAUUCUGGUAAUAAAAGCAUUAAUAGUCCCCCCCCCCCCAAAAAAAGAAUCUUUCUUUAACUUGGUUUCUUCUCUCCAUUUUCACUGUCAAUACUUUAGUUCAGGAUCUCAUUAAGUCAAAACAUACUAAUCUCUUGUUGAAAGCCUUCUAUCAGAACAAAAUCAAAACUCCUAUAGCAUAGUGAACAUGGUCCUUUUCAAUCUGGCUCAGAGCUUUCUCUCCAGUGUCAUCUUCUACCACUUCCUGUUAUUACCCUCUCCCCACCCUAACCCAAUACAACAUUACAAACACAUAGGUAAUUCUGACAACUAGUGCCUCUACACAUAACAUUUUGCCUAAAGCUGUCUUUUACCUUAUUUCUUUGCCUGGGAAGUUACUUAUCCGCCAUUUUUUUGAGACCGUUCUUGAUGUUUUAAUGGCAGAAUUCCCUAUGCUUUCCUUUGUUCUCCCAUAACACUUGUUCAUGCCUCCAUAAUAAACAACAUGUUAAACAGUAUUGUAAUUAUCUGUUUGAUUGUCUAUGCUCAUCCAUUAAUUGAUCAAUGGGUAUACACUUCAGGCCUGUAAAACUUAUUGCCAAAGACUGCUUCAGAAGGGUUUUAGUUUUGAGUUCUACUAGCAUUUAGUUUUGAGUUCUACUUAGCAGCACAACUGGGCUUGUUUCUUUACAUCUUACCAAUACUAAGUUUCUUAAUCCUUACUACUUUGGCAGGUGAGAAUAGUUUUACAAUAUAGUUUUAAUUUUAAUUUCUUUGCUUAGUAAUCAGGUUGAUCACUUUUUCAUAUUCAUGGUAAUGCCUAUAUGUUCCUCACUAAUUUUUAUAUUGGGAAGAGUCAAUUCCCUUUUUCUAAAUGACUUAUAUAAGAACUCCAUGCACAAAGAUACUAACCCAUCUUUCGCAGAUGUAUUGUAAAAUAUGUGGUGUUUUUAAAUCUACAAGGCUUUAAUUUUUGGUUAGUCAAUCUUUUUAUUUUCUUUCUUUGCUUUUAUUAUUAGGAAGUUCUUCUCUAAUCCAAGAUCAGAUACAUAUUCCCCUAUUUCCUUCUACUUCAUUUAUGGAUUUAUUUUUGACACCAAGUUGUAUAUAACUUUAUUUUUUUUUUCCCAAUUAGUCUAUUAAUGUGCUAAUAUUUAGAACUGGAAAAAAUAAAGAUGAGAUAAUGAUAAAAUAAUAGCUCCCCCCACCCUUAAGUUUUAACUGUAUUGGCAAUGCUUUAUUUCUUAAAACUGAAUAAACUAGUAUUGGUUGCAUUUUUGCUUUAUACUUUUCUAUGUGGCUUAAA